CCAGCCAUGCUGUUCCUUGCAUGACAGCAUCCCCCACUCCAGGAGGAGAAAGGCCCCUUCCCCUUCAGCUGUCCAGGGCAAAUGCUUCUGUCACAGCAGGGCCCAAGAGACACAAGCAGUGGAGGUGGUGAAACCAGGAGGGCAUGAAUCCCUCUGUUCCUGAUGGCAAUGGCCCUAGCAUGGAAGAUACGUGGGAAGGUGAAAGAAGAACUUGGGAACUAUGCAAAUCCUUGUGCAUUUCUCAGGCUGCCAAGCUGCUCAUGGCUGAGACUUGGGAGAAGUGGGUGAGUGUGUGUCCACCUUCACUCACUGAGCACAGAGAGGAGUCAAGCCCUGGACCUGGGCUUUCUCUAGCCCAACCUCACCUGGGUAAUUCCAACAGGAGUUUCCUGAGGGCUAGCAGGUCCACAAAGUGCAGUGCACAUUGGAAGGCUUUCUGACUGAGAUGGUGAAGGGUUUGAUCUCCCAGACCCCAUUCAUCCAAGUUAUUAGGGUGGAGCUCGUGUGCAUGUUCAAGGUGGGGUAACUAAGCCUGGAGGCUGUUUAGAAACUCGGUUCUGUGUUUGUGAGAAGCAGAAGGAACCAUCAGGAACAAAGAAAAUGGAUCUACCCACCAAGCACAUGGUGCAGCAGAGGCUGACCCUGCAGACUGCUGCAAUAGACCAGAGUGUGAGGCUGUAAAAAGUGUGAGGCUGUAGAAAUGGACUCAUAGUAUCAAAUGAAAGUAUGGGUGGAAGUCAUCUCAUCUCAUCAACCCCCCUAAUCAAAGUGUGGGCAUCCGCGUCUAAGCCACUGCAGGAAAGUGUCUGUCCCACCUUCUUUUGGAAACUCUUAGCGCUGAAGAUCCCACAAGCUCUCUUCUAAUGUUCCCCUCUGUUCUAGUGCUGAAUUAUUCCCAGACUUCUUCCUAAUACCCGAUGUAACUGUCCCUAGUUGAAAUGUGUGUUGGUUACUUCUUGUCUUGUCUUCCACAGCCACAGAGAGUAGUCUAUUGCCUUUCUAUUUAUAUCCAUCCUCAGGUAUCUCAAGACUGUAACAGAUCCCACUUCCACUGUCUUUACUUCCUGAGAAUAAAUAAUUCCAGUU